UGUAUAAUAUCUCAUGGGGAUUACUUUGAAGGGGACAAAAUAGAUAUUCAUGAAUAAAUAAAUAAUUUUUGAAAAAACACAAAAUUCGCGAUACUUUUUGAACACACCUCGUAUUCCCGGAAAUCGAAGUGAGAUUAAGUGGGUCAUCGUUGUUCGGUCUCCGUCGCAUAGUGUAUCUGUCGUCAAAAGAAAAGAAUCGUUACGUUGCUGGACGUAACACUUAGUUUGACUUACUCUAUCAAUCCACGAGAGCAUAAUUAAACUUUACGUGACAUUCUGUAUAUACAGGAUGAUUUAGGUCAAUCAGAGGAGUUGGCACGUACAUAUUUUUUAUAUAAAGUCGAAUCAAAAAUGUUAAUAGUAAAAUGUUGUGAGGUUAAUAGUUUUUAAAUGGUGAUCGUUUAACUGUCUAACUAUAGUGUGUGAUGUUUGCGCCGUCAAGUGCGGCACAACCAAGUAGUCAGCCGGGCAUUUUGACGGGUACCGCUGAACAACACGGUGCCGAACAAGUAUUAUAAAGAUUCCGUGAAAUCUCUAUUAACAUUUUUUGCUGUAUUCUUAAUUUCAAUUUAAUUGACAAGAAGUAAUGCCAAUUGUAAAUUUGAUGAAACAUCACUUAUAUGAGUAAAAUUUUUUUAAAAAUAUAUUUUAUGUGUGUUUCUUAAAAUACCUAUGUAUAAACAAAUAAAUUAAUAAAUAAAAUCAAUAUUGGUUAAAUUAUCUGAUUAAAUAAUAUUAAAAGCAUCAGUUGACAAACAUUUCUAAAACAUCUUUAUAAAAAGAAAAUACAGAGAAAAGGACACCCAAUUUACGAACAAAUUAAUUGAUCUUGUAAAUUACGUCACGCUCUGUGAUUGGACUGUUUCAAACGUUUACCAUUUAGAAACUAUUGACCUUACAACAUUUUUCUAUUAGCAUUUUCAACUCAAUUUUUCAUGAGAAAUACGUACGUGCCGACUUCUCCGGUUGAUUGACGCCGUCCCUCAGCGAACAGCGAACACCGCGAUCAAAAACACAAUACACAAUAAUUAUCUCGCUUGCUCUGACAGCUGGUUCCUGAAAUGCAAAACCGAAAAUCGCCAAGAUUAGAAAGUUGGGCGCUAGACGUGCUCUAUGGUAGCAUCAAUUUACGAAGUUACUUUCGACAAUGAACGCUAAAAUAACGCAACCACUAUCAAAGUGCGCGAGAGCCGGCUAACUCCACCUAACGGUAGAAGGACAGGGUGGAGUGAAGGCAAAAGCUACGCACGCUAGUGCGACGAAAAAAUCGGAGGACAGACGGAGAGAUUUGACACUCAAGUUAAAACAAUGACAGAUAACAUUUAUUUUAUAAGGAUUAAUACAGUAAUCUAUGAGUAAUCGAGAAAUAACCCAGCUAACAAGACAACGUCGAAAUGACGUGAAGAAAAAACGUAAUUGUAGUGAAAAUGUAACUUAAAUAGAAUGGAUAGAUAGUAAUUACGACGUGAUUUUUGAUACUAAAAUAAUAAGUCUUUACUAUUAUGUCAAAAUGACGUAUUAUCAGUGACGAAUAUAUACGAACGUAGUUUGUAUAUUUAAAUAUUAGGCCUGUUCUUUUUAUUUGAACUGGUUGCACUAAUUUAUUGUUUAUCUUUUUUUUGACAUUGGAAGAGGUAAGAUAAACUUGAACUAAUACAGCCAGUUUAAACUAAAGAAAUGAUUAUAAAAUUUGUCUAGAAAAAAUUUAUUGGGAACUAAGAACUAAGAACUGCUUUCGACUGAUGAUGCCGUAUUUAUUCUUUCAAUUUGUUAUUGCAAUUUCCGGUCUUAUUAGGAUUAUUUGUAUUGUAUACACACAUUGGUUGAAAAGGACGCUUAUUUUCAUAUCAUCAGUUAUUGUGAUAAAUAAAAUUGUCGUAACCAAGUACUUUAGUGGUCGAAUUGGCUAAGACACCCUUCCCGGAUAGUUGGAGGAUUUAGGUUCAAACCCUGGUCGAGGUAAUAUUUUUUGCAAUAAUUUUUUUUAGUUUUUCGAGAUUACGAGGAAUACUAUAUGGGCUGGUAAGUCCCGAGAUUUUUAAUGAAAACAAGCGUUUUUUAGGCAAAGUUAUAUUUAUUCCUCAACAUAGUUGCCUUCGAGUGCGAUACAUUUGGUAUAACGAUUUUCCAACAUUUCGAUGCUCUUUCUGUAGUACAAAACGUCCAAGCUUUCAAAAUACGCCUCGGUUUCCGUGAUGACUUCCUCAUUCGAUGAGAAUCUCUUUCUCUGGAGCUACCACUUAAGGUUUGGGAACAGAUAAUGGUCGCUGGGGGCCAAGUCUAAAGCAUACGGCGGGCGAGCAACCAAUUCAAAUCGUAAUUGGUCCAAUUUGGCCAUCGCUUUCAAGGACGUGUGUGACGGUAAUCGAUGAAGAUUAUGCCAUGUGCAUCCCAAAAAACGGAGGCCAAAACCUUCCCGGCCAAACGUUGGUCUUUUGGCCACUUUGGUCGGUUUUUGUGGCUUUUCAGUCACUCUGCAGACUGCCUAUUGGACUUAGGCGUAUGAUAAUGGAUCCACGUUUUAUCCAUCAUCACAAAACGUCGAAAAAAAUCCGCUCGAUUACGCUGCAACAACGCCAAACCGGCCGUUGAAUUAUCAACGCGCUGCUGUUUUUGGUCGACGGUUAGCAAAUGCGGCACCCAUCGCGCAGAUAGCUUUUUCAUAUCUAAAACAUCGUGCAAAAUGUAUCCCACCCGUUCUUUUAAGAUACCAACGGUCUCAGCUAACUCGCGCAACUUCACUUUACAAUCACUAAAAACGAUUCGAUGCACUUGCUUUACGAUUCCCGGAUUCGUAGCCUUUUUUAGUCUUCCAGAGCGAGGUGCGUUUUCGGUACUUGUACGACUCAUUUUAAAUUCACUAAACCAUCGAUAAAUUGUUGUUUUCGAAGGAGCAGAUGUGGGAUAGCAUUUCUUCAACCAUUUCAUUGAUUGUUCAGGAGUUUUUCCCAUCAAAAAACAUCGCAUAUUUGAUCAAUAUGCGAUAUUCCUGUUUUUCCAUUGUUUCUUUACGAAAGCGAAGAUAGCGACACUUAAACGACUGUAGCUUGUAAACGAAUGAACGAAAUGUCAUAAAACUUUACACAUAAACUUGUGACAGAUGAACCUCUCAAAAUAAAUCAUGUUCUAGUGGCGCGUUUUCCUACUGAAAAAUCCCGAGACUUUUUAGUUCAUGUAGUAGUAGAGAUACGUAAAAGCAUCAAAUAAAUAAUUAAAUUGAUUAGCAAUUUAAUUCCGAAUGUAAUAUUACAUUCAGAUUUUUUCUGAAGUUGUGUUUUAAGUCCGGCAAAUAUGUGGUGCGCAAUUUGGAGGAAUCUUGUAAAUGUUUAUAAAAUUCACCUAGAAAAAAAUUAUUGCGCACAGACAAUAAGAACUGCUUUCAAUCGGUAAUGCCGUAUUUAUACUUUCAAUUUGUUAUUACAAUUUCUGGUAUUAGGAUUACUGGUAUUCUAUAUUUAUAUUAGUUUUUAUUUAAUUUCAUGAAAGAAUACAUUAUUUUGAACAUUGUAUAUUCUUUGAAUUACAUAAUAUAUAUAUUAAAACACUAUUAUAUUGUGUUUUCUAUCUUGUUUCUUCUAGCGUAAUUGUGGCAUUGACUCCUUGUUCGUAAUCUUUGCUUUAAUAGAUAAGUAGUAAGUCUUUGAUCAAUUGUUUAUUAUUGUAUUAUAUGAUUUUCUAAUAAACGACCAUAGUUAGUCAUAGUUUUGCUUAUUUUUUAUGCUUAAAGGCUGUGGACAAGGGAUUAAACAUUUCUUGAAAUGUUUAAUCUUUUAUCUACAAUUUUUAAGCGUAAAAAAUGAGCGCAUUGUCCAACUGCGGCUGUUUAUUAAAAAAUCUUAUGAUAAUAAAUGAUUGCGAUUGAUUAAUAAAGUACUAUUUGUCUGAUUUACUGUUCUUAAUACGUUAUCUGAAGACAUCAUAAAGAACGUUACGGGUUUGUCACUUUUUAACGUCAUUAUGACAUUGCAUUAAUGACGUACUAAUGACGUUUAAAACCUGAAAAAGUCAUGUCAUUUUGACGUCAUCUUGUUAGCUGAGAAUUGAAGAAUACUCAAUAAGUAGGCAAAAAGUAUUCAACUCGUCAUCAAAAGAUAAUCAACAUGUAAUUGAAGGGUAAUUGACAUGUAACGCAAAAUGUCAUCACAAUCUUUGAAUCGCGAUGCGCUAUUGCACAAUAAACCGCUAAUGCGACAACGCAAUGAGUACAUGGGAUAGCGCGAACGCCGCAUCGAUCCUCAGCUACGCUAUUAAUUUCGAGUGCGAAAGAAAAGUCGUAAAGGCGAUACGAACGCAAGAUUUGAAGCUCAUUCACAAAACACGAUACUCGAGAAAGUUCAGCGGCAACGAUGAAUUUGGCCACGACAACGAAAUGUGAAUUCUUGCGGUACUCUAUAAUCAAUCGGUGAUUACAUGACUUUUUGCUACCGACGAACACGGCGACAUGAUAUAGGAGCACGCGGUGCAGAGCUCAGUACUUGAUUCUGCACAUAGUUUAGCUGUCUCGCGACCGCUCUUUCUCAAGAGAGUAUGCACUAUGAUACGCGCGGCUUUUGAAAGCGCGAAUGUUAUUAUUAUGAUGAUAUUGUACAAUGUGCGAAUUUUAUAAUAAAUAAUUUUAUUAAUAAAGAAAUAUUUAAUCUUAUUAAAUGUAAGUGCAUAAUUUUUGCUUGAAAGAAUAAUAAAAAUAAUACAAUUAUAAAAUAUAAUAGUAAAAUAGUAAAAUAUUAAAAAAAAAUUUAAUGCUGCGGAGAUUCGAAUCUGAUUUGCCGCGGAGAGAAAAAUGUAGUUCUAGCACUUGGCUUUCUCAGCCACGACGCUUUUUUGCCGAAUCAAGAGUCUAGUAUUUAACGUACAUACAACCCAAUGUUAAACUUUAAUUGCAAUUUUCUCAUAAACUAAGGCCUAUUCUCGCUAAUCUUUUUACACUUUUCGUAUACUUGAGUUCCCUCUUCGAAUGAGUCUCAUCUCAUUUAGCAUUUUACAGUUUUUGCCAUCUUUUUGUAAGUUCGAUCAACUACAGAAUGCCAGCGUGGUUUCCUCUCACACACACACGCUUUACAACUUCGCGAGACACUCUCACCGACACAUUCGUUCUCUCUCGACGACGUCUCCUCUGUUGGUUCACUUUGGCGACCACAGUUCUCUCUGUCGAUCUUUUCUUCGCAAUAGCUACAAGUUUGUCGAACCGGUAUUGCUCUCUCGGUGUCGCUCGCUGUUC